CAGAGCAGUGACGAAGAUACCAACAUAAUCCUUAAAAUAACAGGUAACACUGACCCAGUGAAACCUUAUUUCCUACCAGUAUGUCGGACUAUCUUGGGAGUCAAGCAUUCUAUGGGACAUUGUUUCUUUGUUAGUAAGUCACAGGGCCGGUAAUAAUAACUAACUGGUAGUUUAUGUUUCGGGGACUAAUAACCAGAUGAAUGCCUAACAGAGCCUGUUUGAAGAGAGUGAUUCCAGAAAAAAUUGGUCCUUGCAGAAGAAGCCAGUGAGGGAAAGAAGUGAGGGCCUCCGUGGCCUGGUUGGCCACCCGGAGAUGCGGGUUACAUGUGUUCAGCCCUCUGGUUGAAAAGGAGCAGACCUGUGUUAUUCUUCAGUAGUGGGUGGGAAGACAAGUCCAAUGCUUCUGUUACUUUACUGUGAAUUCCAGCAGGAGAAAAUGAAUGCUGAAGUAAUUAAAAUCAUCAAGAUUUGUUUUUUCCCUAUGGAUCUUUACAAAGCAACGUAAGACUGAAGCCCCCAGUCCUGCAACAUGUAUAUGAAUGAACCACUGCUGUGGCAGGGGGCCAUGGCACUUUACCAGCUGCAGCCAGAUCAAGGUACAGCAGCCACCAGAAAAUACUGAAUCUGAGAAUGCCUCCUUUCUGGAUGUACAUAUGAGGCCUUUAUACUUUGGAGUGAUAACAGGACAGAAUUUUGCAACCAAAGUCUGGGUAAUCCAAACAGAGCCGAGAUGUGGGGCAGAGGAAGCAAGUGAGACCCCCAGAAACACAGCCCCUGGGCCCACUGGUAGUGGGGAAUCCUUCAGCGUGAUUGUGGGGCUGCUUGUCAGCCCAGGACUCAUUUAUGCCACUAGCAUCACCUUCCAUUCUAGCUCCAGAAGUGGCUUUAUGUUCAUUUUGGUCCUUACCGUUGCAUGGUCUUGUUUCCAAAGCCUGUUCUGGACAGAGAUGUUGAUUCUCUAA
rnacentral:lncRNA from 1 species